rnacentral:rRNA from 1 species
CCUACGGGAGGCAGCAGUGAGGAAUAUUGGUCAAUGGGCGAGAGCCUGAACCAGCCAAGUCGCGUGAGGGAGUACUGCCCUAUGGGUUGUAAACCUCUUUUGUCGGGGAGCAAAAGCCGGACGUGUCCGGCUGUGAGAGUACCCGAAGAAAAAGCAUCGGCUAACUCCGUGCCAGCAGCCGCGGUAAUACGGAGGAUGCGAGCGUUAUCCGGAUUUAUUGGGUUUAAAGGGUGCGCAGCCGGAUUUUUAAGUCAGCGGUAAAAUCGUGGGGCUCAACCCCAUCCAGCCGUUGAAACUGGGGAUCUAGAGUGUGCGAGAGGUAUGCGGAAUGCGUGGUGUAGCGGUGAAAUGCAUAGAUAUCACGCAGAACCCCGAUUGCGAAGGCAGCAUACCGGUGCACAACUGACGCUCAGGCACGAAAGCGUGGGUAUCGAACAGGAUUAGAUACCCGGGUAGUC